AGAGAAGCGGCUGAAAGGUGAAAAGUGGAGAAAGGGCAAAGAGGAAGAGCUAGAGAGCAAAGGUUGAAGAACGGAAAAGCUUGAAGCUUAGAGAUUGCCGGAUUAACUCAGGUAACGAGCGGUGAUUGAGUAGAAGCUAGUGCUUGGAGUCUAGUGUAGUCUACUUAGAGGGUCGUGCUCUGAUAGAUGUAACAUCGGGACGGGAUGUUUUAAUUGUUUUUUGUUGGUUGUUGAACCUUUUUACCUGUAAUAUGUUAUAUGUUUCGAAUGGUUAGUUGAUUUCUAUCCGCUGCGAAUUAUGCAAGAAAAUGUUAUUUUGAUUAAAUAAAGAGCAUGACAGUUAUUAUGGU